UCAGUCGACUCCUACGGGGAGGCAGCAGUGGGGAAUAUUGCACAAUGGGGGAAACCCUGAUGCAGCCAUGCCGCGUGUGUGAAGAAGGCCUUCGGGUUGUAAAGCACUUUCAGUAGGGAGGAAGGUAGUGUAGUUAACACCUGCAUUAUUUGACGUUACCUACAGAAGAAGCACCGGCUAACUCCGUGCCAGCAGCCGCGGUAAUACGGAGGGUGCGAGCGUUAAUCGGAAUUACUGGGCGUAAAGCGCAUGCAGGCGGCCUGUUAAGUCAGAUGUGAAAGCCCGGGGCUUAACCUCGGAAUUGCAUUUGAAACUGGCAGGCUAGAGUCUUGUAGAGGGGGGUAGGAAUUUCAGGUGUAGCGGUGAAAUGCGUAGAGAUCUGAAGGAAUACCAGUGGCGAAGGCGGUCCCCUGGACAAAGACUGACGCUCAGAUGCGAAAGCGUGGGUAGCAAACAGGAUUAGAUACCCUGGUAG
rnacentral:rRNA from 1 species